UACGGAGGGUGCAAGCGUUAUCCGGAAUCACUGGGUUUAAAGGGUGCGUAGGCGGCGCAAUAAGUCAGAGGUGAAAGCCUGCAGCUCAACUGUAGAAUUGCCUUUGAUACUGCUGCGCUUGAAUCAGGUUGAGGUUGGCGGAAUGUGGCAUGUAGCGGUGAAAUGCAUAGAGAUGCCAGAGAACACCAAUUGCGAAGGCAGCUGACUGGGCCUGAAUUGACGCUGAGGCACGAAAGAGUGGGGAGCAAACAGG
rnacentral:rRNA from 1 species